GAUGAACGCUAGCUACAGGCUUAACACAUGCAAGUCGAGGGGCAGCAUGGUCUUAGCUUGCUAAGGCCGAUGGCGACCGGCGCACGGGUGAGUAACACGUAUCCAACCUGCCGUCUACUCUUGGACAGCCUUCUGAAAGGAAGAUUAAUACAAGAUGGCAUCAUGAGUCCGCAUGUUCACAUGAUUAAAGGUAUUCCGGUAGACGAUGGGGAUGCGUUCCAUUAGAUAGUAGGCGGGGUAACGGCCCACCUAGUCUUCGAUGGAUAGGGGUUCUGAGAGGAAGGUCCCCCACAUUGGAACUGAGACACGGUCCAAACUCCUACGGGAGGCAGCAGUGAGGAAUAUUGGUCAAUGGGCGAGAGCCUGAACCAGCCAAGUAGCGUGAAGGAUGACUGCCCUAUGGGUUGUAAACUUCUUUUAUAAAGGAAUAAAGUCGGGUAUGGAUACCCGUUUGCAUGUACUUUAUGAAUAAGGAUCGGCUAACUCCGUGCCAGCAGCCGCGGUAAUACGGAGGAUCCGAGCGUUAUCCGGAUUUAUUGGGUUUAAAGGGAGCGUAGAUGGAUGUUUAAGUCAGUUGUGAAAGUUUGCGGCUCAACCGUAAAAUUGCAGUUGAUACUGGAUAUCUUGAGUGCAGUUGAGGCAGGCGGAAUUCGUGGUGUAGCGGUGAAAUGCUUAGAUAUCACGAAGAACUCCGAUUGCGAAGGCAGCCUGCUAAGCUGCAACUGACAUUGAGGCUCGAAAGUGUGGGUAUCAAACAGGAUUAGAUACCCUGGUAGUCCACACGGUAAACGAUGAAUACUCGCUGUUUGCGAUAUACUGCAAGCGGCCAAGCGAAAGCGUUAAGUAUUCCACCUGGGGAGUACGCCGGCAACGGUGAAACUCAAAGGAAUUGACGGGGGCCCGCACAAGCGGAGGAACAUGUGGUUUAAUUCGAUGAUACGCGAGGAACCUUACCCGGGCUUAAAUUGCAGAUGAAUUACGGUGAAAGCCGUAAGCCGCAAGGCAUCUGUGAAGGUGCUGCAUGGUUGUCGUCAGCUCGUGCCGUGAGGUGUCGGCUUAAGUGUCAUAACGAGCGCAACCCUUGUUGUCAGUUACUAACAGGUUCCGCUGAGGACUCUGACAAGACUGCCAUCGUAAGAUGUGAGGAAGGUGGGGAUGACGUCAAAUCAGCACGGCCCUUACGUCCGGGGCUACACACGUGUUACAAUGGGGGGUACAGAGGGCCGCUACCACGCGAGUGGAUGCCAAUCCCCAAAACCUCUCUCAGUUCGGACUGGAGUCUGCAACCCGACUCCACGAAGCUGGAUUCGCUAGUAAUCGCGCAUCAGCCACGGCGCGGUGAAUACGUUCCCGGGCCUUGUACACACCGCCCGUCAAGCCAUGGGAGCCGGGGGUACCUGAAGUGCGUAACCGCGAGGAGCGCCCUAGGGUAAAACUGG
rnacentral:rRNA from 1 species